ensembl:lncRNA
AGAUUGGUCAAUGGAUAUAUCAUUUAACUCUGAAAUAACAGUUUGACAGCUAAAGUUGCACUUCUUCCUCUGGUGGCUGAACCAAUUCAAAACAGUUUAAAGUUCAAGUAACAAUCUCUUUGUGGAUCCAUUUUAUGAGGAGAGGAAUGUCCGUCACUUUAAGAGAGAAACACAGUUUCUAUUUCUUCUGUCAUGUGGGGUUAAGAAAAUAAAGGAAAAAGAAGCAAGUUGUGAAAAUGGAUGAAUUAGUGCAGACCAACAUCACAGCUCAGACAGGAGGGAACGUCUGUGCUCCUGUGCUGCAUGUGAAUCAGGUUCACGCACCAGUGACACUGAACAUUACAUAUGGAUUGCAGGAAGUGUCCAGUUCCAGCACCAGCUUAGUUCAGACUGGAGGUGCUUCAGGGACUCCUGCUCAAAAUGAA